UUUGUACUCCCUCCGUUCAGAAAUACUUGUCAAAGAAAUGAAUGUGUCUAGACGUAUUUUAGUUGUAGAUACAUCCACUUUUAUCCAUUUUCGCGACAAGUAAUUUCGGACAGAGGGAGUACAAU
rnacentral:pre_miRNA from 1 species